rnacentral:misc_RNA from 1 species
UCUCCGUUGGUGAACCAGCGGAGGGAUCAUUACCGAGUGCAAACUCAUAACCCUUUGUGAACCUAUAUCUGUUGCUUCGGCGGCUCGCUCUCGGGCGAGCCCGCCGGUAAUAUCAGUAUCUCUGUUUGAACCCGACGAUACUUCUGAGUGUUCUUAGCGAACAGUCAAAACUUUUAACAACGGAUCUCUUGGCUCUA